CAGUCGCCGCGGUAAUACAGAGGGUGCGAGCGUUAAUCGGAUUUACUGGGCGUAAAGCGUGCGUAGGCGGCUUCUUAAGUCGGAUGUGAAAUCCCUGAGCUUAACUUAGGAAUUGCAUUCGAUACUGGGAAGCUAGAGUAUGGGAGAGGAUGGUAGAAUUCCAGGUGUAGCGGUGAAAUGCGUAGAGAUCUGGAGGAAUACCGAUGGCGAAGGCAGCCAUCUGGCCUAAUACUGACGCUGAGGUACGAAAGCAUGGGGAGCAAACAGGAUUAGAUACCCCGGUAGUCCUGUCUCUUAUACA
rnacentral:rRNA from 1 species